rnacentral:rRNA from 1 species
UACGAAGGGGGCUAGCGUUGUUCGGAAUUACUGGGCGUAAAGCGUGCGCAGGCGGCCAUCCAAGUCAGGGGUGAAAGCCCGGAGCUCAACUCCGGAAUUGCCAUUGAAACUGUUUGGCUCGAGUACGAGAGAGGUGAGUGGAAUUCCCAGUGUAGAGGUGAAAUUCGUAGAUAUUGGGAAGAACACCGGUGGCGAAGGCGGCUCACUGGCUCGUAACUGACGCUCAUGCACGACAGCGUGGGGAUCAAACAGG